rnacentral:sRNA from 1 species
UUUUAAACUUUUAAAAUGUAGGAUGAAGACACUGUUUGAAGAGAUCAAAGCAUCAAUUAAAAAUAACUAUAACCAAGAUCGAUCAUUUUGGAGGCCUGUUCUUCCUUGGGGGGGUGUUUUUACUAUCAAAGCUGGCCGCAAAGCAGUAUCCUGUACACCACUCUAUGUUGAAAUAAGACUGAAAAAUACCUGCACCAUAGAUGGAUUCUUGAUGUUAUUAUAUGUCAUUCUUAAUGAAAAUGAAAACUUCCCUAGGGAACUCUCUCUUCAUUUUGGUAGAGAGUUUGUAGACUGUUUUCUUUACUUAAUGGACACCUACAGUUUUACAACUGUGAAGCUACUUUGGAUUUGGGACAAGAUGGAAAAACAGCAAUACAAAUCUGAAGUCCAUAAAGCUUCAUUAAUAAUUGAUUUGUUUGGGAAUGAGCAUGAUAAUUUUACAAAAAAUCUUGAAAAUCUCAUGUCUACCAUUCAAGAGAGUUACUGUUCCAACUGGCGAUGCCCAACUCGAGUGCAGGAGGAUCAGCAGCGCACAAUUAAUAUAAAUCCUCCCCAAGAAAUUCCACAUGGAAACUUGAUAAGACUGGCUGUGAAUGAGUUAUUCUGUUCCAAGAUUGAACUGUGUGAAGAGCAUGGGUGUGGUGGCUUAAGAGAAUUUUCCCAACGAGUUUUCUGCCAUGGGGCACCCCCUUUUGUUGUCUUAAAUAUGCAACAUUGGAAAUCUGAAGAUCUGGCAUAUGUACCCUAUUACUUGGAUUUGUCUGAUCACAAGUAGGUGUUUUUGUUGUUUCUUUAUAAAACUAAUAAAAAAAAUUUAUCCUGUUAUAUUAUGAUUUUGACUAGCCCUUAAGAGAUAUUGUUGAAAACAAUCAUAUCUGUCUCUAAAUUUAUGUAUUCUGAAUAGAAUCAGAAUUUAUUACAGAGAGUCAGUUACUAGCAGUGCACAUGGUGGGUAGGUGUGUGGACUACAGAAUAGACAGAAUUGGGUUCAAAUCCUAGCCCCAUCUUUUAUAAGUUAACCUUGGGCCAACAACUUAACCAGUUUACAUGUCAGUUUUCUUAUCUAUAAAGCAGAGAUGAUGGUAUGAACCUAGUGCAAUUAUUGUAAAGAUUUAAUAAGCACAUACUAAGUGUUUAAGAUAGUACCUGACACAUAAUACUGGAUAGUAUAAUAAUAGCACAGUAUUUUGUGCCUGACACAUACUGGCUAAUACUUGUAUUUCAAGUCAGAGAAGUGUGUAGUAGUAUGCAGGUGGUCAUAAUUUAAACAUAAAAUGUUACUUGUCACUAUAAAUAAAAAUAUCUGCAUACAAAUCAGGAAAUAAAGGGUUCUUUUAACAUUUUCCCUGUAAAAGUUUUCUUAUGUGUUUACUCUUUUUUAAAAGAAACAAACAGGUUAUAAGUUCAUCUGUUAAAAUAUGUUUUUAAGAAAUUCUUAAUUUCCACAUUUCCAAUUUUAUUACAUUAUCUAUAGAGAUGGAUAUCUUUUUCAGGGAACAGAAUACAAACAAUGUCAAUGUUUUUAUUCCUUAGUUAUGAAUUUAAGGAAUGUUUAUCUUAAAAACAAAGUAUUAAAUUUUCUCUCAUACUAUAUUAUUUAAUUUGCAGGUAUUUGUUGGAAGGUGCCACAUUAUUUAACAAAGAGGAACAUCAUUAUUCUGCAGCUUUCCAGAUUGGUGGACAUUGGAUGCACUAUGAUGGGCUCAGAAAUGUGAAUUUAAUUUUGUUAAAUAAACCCCCAGAGUUUCUCCUCUUGUCAUCAUUGGUUUAUAUUCGAGCAACAGAGAAAUAAAUAUAGACUGAUGCUAAAAGUUGUUUUCCCUCCUGCCCAUGCUGUCCCAGAUGAAGGGCUUUUAUUUUGUGUAUACUUGGUAUCCAAGAAAAUAGUUCAACUAUACUAGUUUCAGAAGUGUAUUUUCAGUGUCUAACCCCAGGUAAAUGUUUUAUAUAGAGGAUCUAUGCAAAAAUGUUUGUAAUUUUUUAAUAUUUCCUGAGUUAUUUUUAUAUGAGCAUAUUUUAUGUUGGAAUAAAACAUAUCUUGUGGCCUUUGUAUUUUUUAUUUAUAUGUACCUCAAAGAUUUUUACAAUUCUGUCUUUGAAUUCAAGAAAUACUUUGUCAUCUGAAUUCUAAAUUUUUCUUUUUGGAUAUUCGAGUAAAACCUAGGUAAAAGUAUUUUAAGUUUAUAUAAUUUAACAGUUCAAAAUAUAUCUGACUGUAUUUCUUUGCCCUACCUCACUAUAAUCCAAAGUGCACUAUUUGAUCUAGUAUGGAUUUGAAUGUACAAUUUAUCGAUGGCUUAGUUUAUUAGUUCGAUUUGCCUAGUAUCCCUGCAGCAAUUUUUUAAAAUGUGUGAGAAAUUUUUCAGAGCUUAAACUAUUUCUUUAUAAUGGCAAAUUACUUUUAACUACUUCCUAAAGUAUUAUAAACCUGCCAGUGGAUUUUAAGUGAUAGCUAAGCUUCCAAGCUUAAUUCACGUUAUUACAAAUAAAUUAUAUAACUAUCUUAAAUGUUUAUCUUAUAAUUAAAUGUAAUUUGAAAUGCUCUAAUGUAUUUUGCAGAUAAAACAACUAUAAACAAUAUUAGGCAACUGGAUGUUUACUAGUGUCGGACUAGCAAUAGAAAUGCACUUUAAAUAUAUAUUUAAGGGGAAAUGCGUGCCUGGAAAUACUUCUUUUCCUAGUGAAGUUUUAUAUUGACACAGAGAAAAGAAAACUUAAAUUUUUGAGUGAUGUCUACUGGCUUCCUUGUAAGUAGUGAUUGAUAGCAUGCGGCUUUGACUUGCAAUACAAAUCAUUAGGAUUUUAUAGUUAUCAGAACAUUACGUUUCUUUAUAAAGACCCUAAGGUCACUCUUCUUUUUGCAACUUAAGGGAAAAAAUAUUCUCAAAGGAAAAUACUUUUUGAAAUUUAUCACCAUUUUAGUGUUUACAUUAAAUAAAUAGUUCACUUCAGGUUUGGGAUUGAGAUUAGUUGCAAUAUAUUUAGAAGCUCCUACAUGACAGCACAGAUCACUGCCAUCUGCUGAACUGCUAAAGUGCUUGGUGCCAUGUUGAGAAAACUUACCCAAGAAUGGAUAAAUAUGGGUGAAACAUUACUGAGAAUGCCUCAUGCUAGCAAAUACUAUGAAAAUUCUUGUUUAUAUAUCAAACUAAUUUAUUUUACAAAAAAAAAAAUUCACCCCAAGAUUUAUUUAGUUUCCCAAGUGUAUCUGAUUAGGAUUUAAUUUAGAGUAAACUUUUCUGGGGACACCUGAUUGCAUGAACUGAAGUAUACAAUAACACAAAUAUUACGGUAAACAUAAAUGGUGUUAUUAACAAAAUUAUUCCUAAUGCAGAUUUAUUCUUUCAGGAAAUGCACUUUAUUUGGAAUACCAGUUUAUCAUGAAACAAUGACUUACCUACCUCACAGGGUUGUUGUGAGGAUUAAGAUGUUUGUUAAAAUCUUGACUACCUUGAACAUGCUAAUAAAAAAACAUUUUUCUACCUCUUUUAUUUGC